AUGUCAAAUCAUCAUGCUCUUUAUGAUCUGGGCUACAAACGUACUACAAUGGCGCGAACAGAGGGAAGCGACUCCGCGAGGGGAAGCGGAACCCAAAAACGCGUCCCAGUUCGGAUUGCAGGCUGCAACCCGCCUGCGUGAAGUCGGAAUUGCUAGUAAUCGCGGAUCAGCAAGCCGCGGUGAAUACGUUCCCGGGCCUU
rnacentral:rRNA from 1 species